AUGCUUGCUUCUGCAGCAUAUAUACUAAAAAUCAGAGUGAAACAAACAAAAUUAGCAUGGUCACCUGAGCAAAGAUGACAUGCAAAUUCGUUAAGUGUUCCACAUUUAA